rnacentral:rRNA from 1 species
GACGAACGCUGGCGGCGUGCUUAACACAUGCAAGUCGAACGCUGAAGCUUGGUGCUUGCACUGGGUGGAUGAGUGGCGAACGGGUGAGUAAUACGUGAGUAACCUGCCCUUGACUCUGGGAUAAGCCUGGGAAACUGGGUCUAAUACUGGAUACGACAUGUCACCGCAUGGUGGUGUGUGGAAAGGGUUUUACUGGUUUUGGAUGGGCUCACGGCCUAUCAGCUUGUCGGUGGGGUAAUGGCUCACCAAGGCGACGACGGGUAGCCGGCCUGAGAGGGUGACCGGCCACACUGGGACUGAGACACGGCCCAGACUCCUACGGGAGGCAGCAGUGGGGAAUAUUGCACAAUGGGCGGAAGCCUGAUGCAGCGACGCCGCGUGAGGGAUGACGGCCUUCGGGUUGUAAACCUCUUUCAGCACGGAAGAAGCGAAAGUGACGGUACGUGCAGAAGAAGCGCCGGCUAACUACGUG